GACAGAGGCCUCAAGCGUUAGGCGGAAUCACUGGGCUUAAAGCGUGUGUAGGCGGAUCGUUAAGUGUCUUGUGAAAUCCCACGGCUCACCCGUGGAACUGCUGGGCAUACUGGCGAUCUUGGGCCAACUAGGGGCAGCCGGAACAAGCGGUGGAGCGGUGAAAUGCGUAGAUAUCAUUUGGAACGCCAAUGGUGAAAACAGGUAGCUGGGGAUGUGCUGACGCUGAGACACGAAAGCCAGGGGAGCAAACGGG
rnacentral:rRNA from 1 species